UGUGUGUGUGUGUGUGUGUGUGUGAUUUAUUUUUUUUUAACCCUUAAGAACACUAAAUGGUCAUUGAUGGUGCUUUGAUGAACAUGUUUUGGUAAGACAGAAUCUUUCUAGUCAUCCAAAUAUAGUCCAAACGACACUGACACGACAAGAGAGCUGGAGGUCGGGUGGACUAGAGUUGACUGAUCGAUGUGGUUGGUGGUGGGAGUUCACAACGUUCCCGUCUUGGAAUGCCACACAGUACUAAGGAGAUUAUGGGGAGACACAAAUCUAUGAUCUUAAUUUGGAAUUACAUUUCCCAAUAAGCCUGAUUCAGGCCACCCAAGGAAGUGAUCCAAGAAACAAGGUACUGAAAAUUGCUUUUAAAACACUGGGUUUAAUAUUUUUUGUUUUAAUUACAUUUUUGUGUGUUCGGAUUGCCGUCCCAAUUAGCAGCUGAGUGUGAAGCAGAUACUUCAAGGCGAAUUAGGACCAGAUUCAUCUCCUCUCAUCAGCUGCUGGCCCAGACUCACCUUUGGCCUGGACUACUGACUGAAUGAAUGAAUGAGUGAGUGUGUGUGUGUGUGUGUGUGUGUGUGUGUGUGUGUGUGUGUGUGUGUGUGUGUGAGUGUGUAAGAGUAAGCGAGUGAGUGUUUAUGAGUGAGUGAGUGAAUGAAUGAAUGAGUGAAUGUGUAUGAGUGAGUGUGUAUAAAUUAAUGAAUGAGUGAAUGUGUAUGAGUGAGUGAGUGAGUGAGUGAGUGAGUGAGUGAGUGUGUGUGUGUGUGUGUGUGUGUGUGUGUGUGUGUGUGAGUGAGUGAGUGUGUAUCAGUGAGUGUGUAUCAGUGAGUAUGGAGUGAAUGAGUGAGUGUGUGAGUGAGUGAGUGUGGACUGAGUGUUGCACAGAUUCACUUUUAUUAACAAAUUUCACGGAAGUUUGCACUGAUUGACCGUGUCCUUAUGAUAUUGUUUUGUUUAUUUGUUGCUUUUAUUGUUGUCUCAAAACGGUCAGUGCCCGUGUACAUGAUCCCCCGCAUCUCACUGUGCUGUUCUCUCCCCCUGAGUCCCAGACUGGAUGGACUUCUGUAAAACAAUGAAGGCAAAGCACUCCAGCAGGUGUGACGGGACAGGUGCACUCUAGCAGGUGUGACGUGACAGGUGCCGCAGCUCUGAACAAAGUCUACCUUCAACACAUUUCAACACAAUACACAACACUAUCUUGCAGACCCACAUACACACAGAUAAAUGUGCAUUUCUGUGGGAACUUGUCCCAGUACGACAUCGAGCCAUGUUAAGAUUCAGCACCCAGCAAAGGGAGUGGUGUUCUGAGAAGCAUUUGUGGCGUAUGAUAUGAGAGAACUGCCGCAUCUGUUACAUAGUGUAUUCACCUGCUCACACACACACACGCACACUCACUCACAAUCGACACGCACACUCACUCACAUACGCACACACACUCCACCCUUUACAGGACUGACUCUGCCUUUACCCCCAAAAAUAAAAUAAAAUUCUCUUAUGAAUCUAUGCUACUGUGAAAUGAUGGUUUUCUGUUUUUUUGUCAUCAAAGAUAUAAGCAAGAGCCAAAACAGAUAUGUGUAUGUGUACACAGGCAUUUGUAUAGGCAGUAUGCUAUCAAAUGUUAAGGAGUAAGUAUUCAUAGACUGUAAAAUCCCAAUAGGUAUGAGUUGACCGCAACUGCAAUGUUUCACCACUAGGGGGAGAAGUUGUCAAGCAGAUUGUUUGUACAGCGUCAAAGUGAAGGCUUCCAAAAAACCUCUUCCCUCAGGCUUUGGGUUGCCUUCUGUCCAAAUGCUUCCAACUAGCCAUUAAAUUCCCCCCCAAGCUUAUUAUGUAAUUAUGUGAAUAAUUUAGGAUUUGGAAUCAAAUCUAGGCCACAUGCUCUGGUAAAUGUGGUUAAUAUAAUUAGAUUUUGCUUUGCAUGCAUUGUCACUAUCCUUGGAGUAACUCUAACUGACAUGCAGGCCAGGUUCAGGCCAGUUCACUGCCUUCUCAGUAGAAAUCCAACUGAAAACUGAGCUGAGAAAGCCAGCACUAGACUAUAUAAUGAGUCCGUUCGAAACAGAAGUUUGCUGCCUUGUUGCUGUAAUAGACAGGUGUAUCAUAAGGCUUAAUACGGCAGACCCAGUGGGUCCGAUCGAACCAGAAGGUUGCUGCCUUGAUGCCUCACUGUCGUGUUAGACACCCCACUGAGACAGCAUGUUACCGUUUGGAAGGGACCCAGUGACCACAGGAGA
ensembl:lncRNA